rnacentral:rRNA from 1 species
UUUUUUUAAAUUUAAUAAUUGCAAGUUAUUUUAAUUUGUGAAGAAACAAUUAUAUAAAUUAAGGACAAGAAGACCCUAAGAAUUUAAGAAUUCUUAUGUUACUUAAAUAUAAAAUAGGAAUUCUUAGUUGGGGCAACUAAAAAACAUUAUAAACUUUUUUUUCUUUAAAAUGACCCAUUAUUAAUGAUAA